UACCCUGAACAGUGGAUCACUUGGCUCGUGGGUCGAUGAAGAACGCAGCUAAAUUGUGCGUCGACGUGUGAAGUGCAGAACACAUGAACAUCGACAUUUCGAACGCACAUUGUGGUCCACGGAUACAAUUCCUGGACCACGCAUGGCUGAGGGUCG